rnacentral:lncRNA from 1 species
GUAUGUCACCAUAUAGGGAAAUCCCCAUUGAGGUCACUAUGACCUGGGGACUUGGGGCCAUCACCUUGGUCACUUUCUAAUACCUGCCACAGGCCUAAACACUCACCCUUGCCAUGUGAUGUUUCGAUGAUCCAGUCUACAAAUAAUUGAAGAGACAUUGAUCCCUUAAAUUGAGGGGAUGAAUGCAGAAGAUGAUGACAGAGUGAGUGUGAGCAUGAGAUGUUAUUUUACUUCAAGUUCAUGGUCAAAUACUGUCCCCAGAGUACCCCUCAUGGGGCCACUCAGCUACACACAGAGAAAGCUGUGAGAGUUGUCAGGCCUGAGCCAGAGGCAUCAGCCCAGCCCGCUUCCUCUCAGCUACAACAGGAAAUGAGUGUCCAGGACUCUGCUCUGCUAGGGGACUACAUGUGCUCUGUCUUCUGCAAUUACCCAGUCUUGAGCACAGCACUUGGCACACAGCCGUCCCUCUACGACUACUGACUGGAUGAAUAAAUGAAUGAGCAAAAGGACAGAUGAAUGCAGCCCAUGUCAGAAGCUUUGAAGUUUUUCACAAACAUCUUUGAUGUCAUAUUCUCUUCAGUGAUAUAACGCAAGAACGCAGUGACAAGAUGGCCAAGGCCCCAGUGGAAAAGACCGAGACUCCCAGAGAAACGGCAACUUACCAGGAUUGCAGCCCAGACCUCUCUAAUUUGGAAGCCUCUCCAUCUCACCAGUUAAUGAGUAUUCACAUGUUGGAUCUGAGCUGUUCUGACAAUGGUGAAGACACCUGGGAGAGGAAUGCCAGGGAAUGCUGAUCUUCAGAAAACAGGUAGGAGGACAGAGAAGCCCAAAAC